rnacentral:rRNA from 1 species
UACGAAGGGGGCUAGCGUUGUUCGGAGUUACUGGGCGUAAAGCGCACGCAGGCGGUCGUGUAAGUUUGGGGUUACAGCUCCCGGCUCAACUGGGAGAGCGCCUUGAAGACUGCAGGACUUGAGGGCCAGAGAGGGACACAGAAUUCCGGGUGUAGUGGUGAAAUGCGUAGAUAUCCGGAGGAAUACCAAAGGCGAAGGCAGUGUCCUGGCUGGUGACUGACGCUGAGGUGCGAAAGCUAAGGGAGCGAACGGG